rnacentral:rRNA from 1 species
UAGGGAAUCUUCCGCAAUGGGCGAAAGCCUGACGGAGCAACGCCGCGUGAGUGAUGAAGGUCUUCGGAUCGUAAAACUCUGUUAUUAGGGAAGAACAAAUGUGUAAGUAACUAUGCACGUCUUGACGGUACCUAAUCAGAAAGCCACGGCUAACUACGUGCCAGCAGCCGCGGUAAUACGUAGGUGGUAAGCGUUAUCCGGAAUUAUUGGGCGUAAAGCGCGCGUAGGCGGUUUUUUAAGUCUGAUGUGAAAGCCCACGGCUCAACCGUGGAGGGUCAUUGGAAACUGGAAAACUUGAGUGCAGAAGAGGAAAGUGGAAUUCCAUGUGUAGCGGUGAAAUGCGCAGAGAUAUGGAGGAACACCAGUGGCGAAGGCGACUUUCUGGUCUGUAACUGACGCUGAUGUGCGAAAGCGUGGGGAUCAAACAGGAUUAGAUACCCUGGUAGUCCACGCCGUAAACGAUGAGUGCUAAGUGUUAGGGGGUUUCCGCCCCUUAGUGCUGCAGCUAACGCAUUAAGCACUCCGCCUGGGGAGUACGACCGCAAGGUUG